UCCUACGGGAGGCAGCAGUGAGGAAUAUUGGUCAAUGGACGGAAGUCUGAACCAGCCAUGCCGCGUGCAGGAUGACUGCCCUAUGGGUUGUAAACUGCUUUUCUGAAGGAAGAGAAGUACCUACGUGUAGGUAUUUGCCGGUACUUCAGGAAUAAGGAUCGGCUAACUCCGUACCAGCAGCCGCGGUAAUACGGAGGAUCCGAGCGUUAUCCGGAUUUAUUGGGUUUAAAGGGUGCGUAGGCGGUAUAAUAAGUCAGUGGUGAAAGUCUGUGACUCAACCAUAGAAGUGCCAUUGAAACUGUUAUACUUGAGUAUAGAUGAGGUAUGCGGAAUGUGUAAUGUAGCGGUGAAAUGCUUAGAUAUUACACAGAACACCGAUUGCGAAGGCAGCAUACUAAGCUAUAACUGACGCUGAUGCACGAAAGCGUGGGUAGCGAACAGGAUUAGAUACCCUGGUAGUCCACGCCGUAAACGAUGAUCACUCGUUGUUGGCGACAUAAAGUCAGUGACUGAGCGAAAGCAUUAAGUGAUCCACCUGGGGAGUACGUUGGCAACGAUGAAACUCAAAUGAAUUGACG
rnacentral:rRNA from 1 species